AAGCUAGAAUAGUAAACAAAUCUCCCAUUCGUACAUGGUCUAAUGCUAGAGGAGAAGGCAAAUUGUUUUCAAUAGAUUUAUUAGAUGAAAGUGGAGAAAUAAAAGCUACAGGUUUUAGAGAGAUAGUUGAUAAAUUUUAUGACUUCUUAGAGGUUGAUAAAGUUUAUUUUAUAAGUAAAUGUCAACUAAAAAUAGCAAACAAACAAUUCUCAACCUUAAACAACGAUUAUGAAAUGACUUUUACGAAUGACACUAUUAUUCAAGAAUGUGUUGAUGAUACUAAGUCAAUUCCCCAAGUUCAGUACAAUUUUAUACCUAUUAAUCAAAUUGCUAAUAUCGAAAUGGGUUCAUUGAUUGAUGUCAUUGGUGUUUGUAAAACGUCUUCUGAUGUGACAUCAAUAACUGCUCGAACCACAGGCAGGGAACAUAAGAAAAGGAAUGUACAGUUGACUGAUCAGUCAGACACUUCAGUACGUUUAUUUAUUUAUUUAUUUAUUAUAUGCAAUA